rnacentral:rRNA from 1 species
UGUAUAAUGGGUCAGCGACUUAUAUUCUGUAGCAAGGUUAACCGAAUAGGGGAGCCGAAGGGAAACCGAGUCUUAACUGGGCGUUAAGUUGCAGGGUAUAGACCCGAAACCCGGUGAUCUAGCCAUGGGCAGGUUGAAGGUUGGGUAACACUAACUGGAGGACCGAACCGACUAAUGUUGAAAAAUUAGCGGAUGACUUGUGGCUGGGGGUGAAAGGCCAAUCAAACCGGGAGAUAGCUGGUUCUCCCCGAAAGCUAUUUAGGUAGCGCCUCGUGAAUUCAUCUCCGGGGGUAGAGCACUGUUUCGGCAAGGGGGUCAUCCCGACUUACCAACCCGAUGCAAACUGCGAAUACCGGAGAAUGUUAUCACGGGAGACACACGGCGGGUGCUAACGUCCGUCGUGAAGAGGGAAACAACCCAGACCGCCAGCUAAGGUCCCAAAGUCAUGGUUAAGUGGGAAACGAUGUGGGAAGGCCCAGACAGCCAGGAUGUUGGCUUAGAAGCAGCCAUCAUUUAAAGAAAGCGUAAUAGCUCACUGGUCGAGUCGGCCUGCGCGGAAGAUGUAACGGGGCUAAACCAUGCACCGAAGCUGCGGCAGCGACGCUUAUGCGUUGUUGGGUAGGGGAGCGUUCUGUAAGCCUGUGAAGGUGUGCUGUGAGGCAUGCUGGAGGUAUCAGAAGUGCGAAUGCUGACAUAAGUAACGAUAAAGCGGGUGAAAAGCCCGCUCGCCGGAAGACCAAGGGUUCCUGUCCAACGUUAAUCGGGGCAGGGUGAGUCGACCCCUAAGGCGAGGCCGAAAGGCGUAGUCGAUGGGAAACAGGUUAAUAUUCCUGUACUUGGUGUUACUGCGAAGGGGGGACGGAGAAGGCUAUGUUGGCCGGGCGACGGUUGUCCCGGUUUAAGCGUGUAGGCUGAUUUUCCAGGCAAAUCCGGAAAAUCAAGGCUGAGGCGUGAUGACGAGGCACUACGGUGCUGAAGCGACAAAUGCCCUGCUUCCAGGAAAAGCCUCUAAGCAUCAGGUAACAUCAAAUCGUACCCCAAACCGACACAGGUGGUCAGGUAGAGAAUACCAAGGCGCUUGAGAGAACUCGGGUGAAGGAACUAGGCAAAAUGGUGCCGUAACUUCGGGAGAAGGCACGCUGAUAUGUAGGUGAAGCGACUUGCUCGUGGAGCUGAAAUCAGUCGAAGAUACCAGCUGGCUGCAACUGUUUAUUAAAAACACAGCACUGUGCAAACACGAAAGUGGACGUAUACGGUGUGACGCCUGCCCGGUGCCGGAAGGUUAAUUGAUGGGGUUAGCGGCAACGCGAAGCUCUUGAUCGAAGCCCCGGUAAACGGCGGCCGUAACUAUAACGGUCCUAAGGUAGCGAAAUUCCUUGUCGGGUAAGUUCCGACCUGCACGAAUGGCGUAAUGAUGGCCAGGCUGUCUCCACCCGAGACUCAGUGAAAUUGAACUCGCUGUGAAGAUGCAGUGUACCCGCGGCAAGACGGAAAGACCCCGUGAACCUUUACUAUAGCUUGACACUGAACAUUGAGCCUUGAUGUGUAGGAUAGGUGGGAGGCUUUGAAGUGUGGACGCCAGUCUGCAUGGAGCCGACCUUGAAAUACCACCCUUUAAUGUUUGAUGUUCUAACGUUGGCCCGUAAUCCGGGUUGCGGACAGUGUCUGGUGGGUAGUUUGACUGGGGCGGUCUCCUCCUAAAGAGUAACGGAGGAGCACGAAGGUUGGCUAAUCCUGGUCGGACAUCAGGAGGUUAGUGCAAUGGCAUAAGCCAGCUUGACUGCGAGCGUGACGGCGCGAGCAGGUGCGAAAGCAGGUCAUAGUGAUCCGGUGGUUCUGAAUGGAAGGGCCAUCGCUCAACGGAUAAAAGGUACUCCGGGGAUAACAGGCUGAUACCGCCCAAGAGUUCAUAUCGACGGCGGUGUUUGGCACCUCGAUGUCGGCUCAUCACAUCCUGGGGCUGAAGUAGGUCCCAAGGGUAUGGCUGUUCGCCAUUUAAAGUGGUACGCGAGCUGGGUUUAGAACGUCGUGAGACAGUUCGGUCCCUAUCUGCCGUGGGCGCUGGAGAACUGAGGGGGGCUGCUCCUAGUACGAGAGGACCGGAGUGGACGCAUCACUGGUGUUCGGGUUGUCAUGCCAAUGGCACUGCCCGGUAGCUAAAUGCGGAAGAGAUAAGUGCUGAAAGCAUCUAAGCACGAAACUUGCCCCGAGAUGAGUUCUCCCUGACUCCUUGAGAGUCCUGAAGGAACGUUGAAGACGACGACGUUGAUAGGCCGGGUGUGUAAGCGCAGCGAUGCGUUGAGCUAACCGGUACUAAUGAACCGUGAGGCUUAACCUU